rnacentral:rRNA from 1 species
CCCUUAGAUGUUCUGGGCCGCACGCGCGCUACACUGAUGCAUUCAACGAGCCUAUCCUUGACCGACAGGUCCGGGUAAUCUUUGAAUCUGCAUCGUGACGGGGAUAGAUUAUUGCAAUUAUUAAUCUUCAACGAGGAAUUCCUAGUAAGUAUGUGUCAUCAUCACGCACUGAUUACGUCCCUGCCCUUUGUACACACCGCCCGUCGCUCCUACCGAUUGGGUGAGCCGAUGAAACUCUCGGAUGUAGGCUAUUCAUAGCCCGCAGAAGAGAUUUGAAUCGUAGCGCUUAGAGGAAGGAGAAGUCGUAACA